rnacentral:rRNA from 1 species
UACGUAGGGUGCGAGCGUUGUCCGGAUUUAUUGGGCGUAAAGGGCGCGUAGGCGGGUUCCCAAGUCGGUGGUGAAAUCUUUCGGCCCAACCGGAAAAGUGCCGCCGAUACUGGGAGUCUCGAGGGAGGUAGGGGUCGAUGGAACUUCCGGUGGAGCGGUGAAAUGCGUAGAUAUCGGAAGGAACGCCGGUGGCGAAAGCGAUCGACUGGACCUCUUCUGACGCUGAGGCGCGAAAGCCAGGGGAGCAAACGGG